rnacentral:rRNA from 1 species
AUUGAACGCUGGCGGCAGGCCUAACACAUGCAAGUCGAACGGUAACAGGAAGCAGCUUGCUGCUUUGCUGACGAGUGGCGGACGGGUGAGUAAUGUCUGGGAAACUGCCUGAUGGAGGGGGAUAACUACUGGAAACGGUAGCUAAUACCGCAUAACGUCGCAAGACCAAAGAGGGGGACCUUCGGGCCUCUUGCCAUCGGAUGUGCCCAGAUGGGAUUAGCUAGUAGGUGGGGUAACGGCUCACCUAGGCGACGAUCCCUAGCUGGUCUGAGAGGAUGACCAGCCACACUGGAACUGAGACACGGUCCAGACUCCUACGGGAGGCAGCAGUGGGGAAUAUUGCACAAUGGGCGCAAGCCUGAUGCAGCCAGGCCGCGUGUAUGAAGAAGGCCUUCGGGUUGUAAAGUACUUUCAGCGGGGAGGAAGGGAGUAAAGUUAAUACCUUGGCUCAUUGACGUUACCGGCAGAAGAAGCACCGGCUAACUCCGUG